rnacentral:lncRNA from 1 species
UUGAUUUUCCGGGUAAUCAAUACUUCAUUGUUCAAAUAUUUGGAACAAGCAGUUGUGAGAAGAUCAAGUUCUAUAGUGAAAUUGGCAAAGGAGGAAAAAGAGCACGGACUUACGUGGAAGCAACCAUUCCAGUAAAGUUGUUUCGAACAACUGAGAUAAAUAAAUGAAGAAAAGGACUAAAACAUUUGUUGCAUCAGAGUAUGAAAAGGUCACAUACAUUUUGCUGCAUCAGUUGGAUCUGAUGCAACAAUUGUUUUACUCUCUUUUCUUUACUGAAUUUAUAUCAGUUGUUUGAAGCAGCUCAACCGGGGUAGUUUCUUCCACAUAGGUCGUUGCUCUUUUUAUUACUUUGCCUAGUUGGCCCAGAUUCAUCGACCCCAUGACUUACUUCUGCCUUUCUAUCCUGUUGGCGAGAAAAAUAGGUUUGCUCAGAUUUGUACAAAGAUGACAACACAAGAUUUUUUUAUCAGUUAUAUUUUUAUGUCAACUUUACGGUAGGUUUUUUCACACACUUAUACUAAGUUCUUGUACAUAAAAAUUACUAACACAUUUUUCUUUGACAAUAAUGUUGUGGAAUGAUCAAAAUGUACUGAAACAUGAAAGAACAUAAUCACCUGUUGUCAAUUCAUCCAUAUUAAUUGCUUGUGCUUGGCUGAUUUUUUUUUUGUUUUCCAGUUUGUGUAUUGUUUCUUCUAUCGUUUAAUAUCGACCUGUUUUAUACCUAUGCAGGAAGUACCAUAAUAUUGGCAAAAAUAUUUACCAAAAGGAAAAAGCUCGGAAGGUGGAUUAUUUUUCUCCGAAGAGCGGAUAAAAGAAUGUGGUCUAUCUAUUAUCAUAGCAGAUCAGGUUUUGAUGUUUUGACAUGUGGAUGGGAGAAAGUUCUGGACGCUUAUGGCAUGAAUGCGGGAAAUGGUUGUAUUUUUCAACUUGUCCAUCACCGGGG